UACGGGGGGGGCAAGCGUUGUUCGGAAUUACUGGGCGUAAAGGGCUCGUAGGCGGCCCACUAAGUCGGACGUGAAAUCCCUCAGCUUAACUGGGGAACUGCGUCCGAUACUGGAUGGCUCGAGUUUGGGAGAGGGAUGCGGAAUUCCAGGUGUAGCGGUGAAAUGCGUAGAUAUCUGGAGGAACACCGGUGGCGAAGGCGGCAUCCUGGACCAACACUGACACUGAGGAGCGAAAGCCAGGGGAGCAAACGGG
rnacentral:rRNA from 1 species